UCCCGUGUGGCACAGUUGGUAGAGCAUGGUGUUUGCAACGCCAGGGUUGUGGGUUUGAUUCCCACGUGGGAC
rfam:Salmo salar isolate Sally breed double haploid chromosome ssa13, whole genome shotgun sequence.